rnacentral:rRNA from 1 species
CAAUAGCGUAUAUUAAAGUUGUUGCGGUUAAAAAGCUCGUAGUUGGAUUUCGGCGGACAGGGGGCGGUUCGAUAUUUGUCGCUACUGCCCCAUUUGUCCGUGUUUUUGGCGGAGGUUUCAGGGUGCUCUUCACCGAGUGUCCUGGGUUGCCGUCAGGUUUACUUUGAAAAAAUUAGAGUGCUCAAAGCAGGCUUUACACGCUUGAAUAUUCGUGCAUGGAAUAAUGGAAUAGGACGUCGUUUCUAUUUUGUUGGUUUUCGGAAAUCGACGUAAUGAUUAACAGGGACAGUCGGGGGCAUUAGUAUUCAGACGACAGAGGUGAAAUUCUUGGACCGUCUGAAGACUAACUACUGCGAAAGCAUUUGCCAAGAAUGUUUUCAUUAA